rnacentral:lncRNA from 1 species
CAACAAAUUAAAUGUGAAAAACGAAAAAAGAAACUACUGCUAGAGGUAGAGCUAUAAGGAAUCGAACCAUCUAUUCUAUUGCGCUCUCAAUUCAACAGGUGGAAGGUCAAUAACCCUACAAAAUUUUGUUGAAGUACAUGCAUUCAAUUGUGGUUUAUUGGGAGAUGAGGAGGAAACGGUUUUGGAAGAUGAGGGGUUUUGGAGGUUGGGAGAUGAGAGGGAAUAGUUUUGGUGCAAUUAUUGGCAUUCAAUUGUGGUUUUAUUGGGAGAUGAGGAGGGAAUGGUUUUGGAAGAUGAGAGGUUUUGGAGAUUGGGAGAUGAAAAGGAGGAGUUUUGAAAGAAGAAGGUAAUGCCAUGUCAGCAAGAUAUUGGAGAUUCAUAGAUAUAUAUAUAUAUAUAGCAGGGCUGCUGUGCUCUCAGGAGCAUAGAGGCCUCCGUGCUCCUGAGCCGUUUUCGAUGAUGGAGUUUCCGAAUCGACGAUCGGCUCCGUUAAACUUGAUCUAACAUAUUUGAAGUUUCUAGAAAAUAAUUUUUACGAUUUUUCGAUAUCAUUUACCUAGCAAUCGAAAGGAUUCAAAAU